rnacentral:rRNA from 1 species
UACGUAGGGGGCAAGCGUUGUCCGGAUUUAUUGGGCGUAAAGAGCGUGUAGGCGGUUAGGUAGGUCCGUUGUGAAAACUCGAGGCUCAACCUCGAGACGCCGAUGGAAACCAUCUGACUAGAGUCCGGAAGAGGAGAGUGGAAUUCCUGGUGUAGCGGUGAAAUGCGCAGAUAUCAGGAGGAACACCGGUGGCGAAGGCGGUUCUCUGGGCCUGUACUGACGCUGAGGAGCGAAAGCGUGGGGAGCGAACAGG